GAUGAACGCUGGCGGCGUGCCUAAUACAUGCAAGUCGAGCGAACAGACGAGGAGCUUGCUCCUCUGACGUUAGCGGCGGACGGGUGAGUAACACGUGGAUAACCUACCUAUAAGACUGGGAUAACUUCGGGAAACCGGAGCUAAUACCGGAUAAUAUAUUGAACCGCAUGGUUCAAUAGUGAAAGACGGUUUUGCUGUCACUUAUAGAUGGAUCCGCGCCGCAUUAGCUAGUUGGUAAGGUAACGGCUUACCAAGGCAACGAUGCGUAGCCGACCUGAGAGAGUGAUCGGCCACACUGGAACUGAGACACGGUCCAGACUCCUACGGGAGGCAGCAGUAGGGAAUCUUCCGCAAUGGGCGAAAGCCUGACGGAGCAACGCCGCGUGAGUGAUGAAGGUCUUCUGAUCGUAAAACUCUGUUAUUAGGGAAGAACAAAUGUGUAAGUAACUAUGCACGUCUUGACGGUACCUAAUCAGAAAGCCACGGCUAACUACGUG
rnacentral:rRNA from 1 species